rnacentral:sRNA from 1 species
UAAUAACAAAACAAAAUAAAUGCAAAUAAAAUAUAAUAUGAUAAAAUGGGGCAUAC